rnacentral:rRNA from 1 species
AAGUCGAGCGGACCGACGGGAGCUUGCUCCCUUAGGUCAGCGGCGGACGGGUGAGUAACACGUGGGUAACCUGCCUGUAAGACUGGGAUAACUCCGGGAAACCGGGGCUAAUACCGGAUGCUUGAUUGAACCGCAUGGUUCAAUCAUAAAAGGUGGCUUUUAGCUACCACUUGCAGAUGGACCCGCGGCGCAUUAGCUAGUUGGUGAGGUAACGGCUCACCAAGGCGACGAUGCGUAGCCGACCUGAGAGGGUGAUCGGCCACACUGGGACUGARACACGGCCCAGACUCCUACGGGAGGCAGCAGUAGGGAAUCUUCCGCAAUGGACGAAAGUCUGACGGARCAACGCCGCGUGAGUGAUGAAGGUUUUCGGAUCCGAAAACUCUGUUGUUAGGGAAGAACAAGUACCGUUCGAAUAGGGCGGUACCUUGACGGUACCUAACCAGAAAGCCACGGCUAACUACGUGCCAGCAGCCGCGGUAAUACGUAGGUGGCAAGCGUUGUCCGGAAUUAUUGGGCGUAAAGCGCGCGCAGGCGGUUUCUUAAGUCUGAUGUGAAAGCCCCCGGCUCAACCGGGGAGGGUCAUUGGAAACUGGGGAACUUGAGUGCAGAAGAGGAGAGUGGAAUUCCACGUGUAGCGGUGAAAUGCGUAGAGAUGUGGAGGAACACCAGUGGCGAAGCGACUCUCUGGUCUGUAACUGACGCUGAGCGCGAAAGCGUGGGGAGCGAACAGGAUUAGAUACCCUGGUAGUCCACGCCGUAAACGAUGAGUGCUAAGUGUUAGAGGGUUUCCGCCCUUUAGUGCUGCAGCAAACGCAUUAAGCACUCCGCCUGGGGAGUACGGUCGCAGACUGAAACUCAAAGGAAUUGACGGGGCCCGCACAGCGUGGAGCAUGUGGUUUAAUUCGAAGCAACGCGAAGAACCUUACCAGGUCUUGACAUCCUCUGACAACCCUAGAGAUAGGGCUUCCCCUUCGGGGGCAGAGUGACAGGUGGUGCAUGGUUGUCGUCAGCUCGUGUCGUGAGAUGUUGGGUUAAGUCCCGCAACGAGCGCAACCCUUGAUCUUAGUUGCCAGCAUUCAGUUGGGCACUCUAAGGUGACUGCCGGUGACAAACCGGAGGAAGGUGGGGAUGACGUCAAAUCAUCAUGCCCCUUAUGACCUGGGCUACACACGUGCUACAAUGGGCAGAACAAAGGGCAGCGAAGCCGCGAGGCUAAGCCAAUCCCACAAAUCUGUUCUCAGUUCGGAUCGCAGUCUGCAACUCGACUGCGUGAAGCUGGAAUCGCUAGUAAUCGCGGAUCAGCAUGCCGCGGUGAAUACGUUCCCGGGCCUUGUACACACCGCCCGUCACACCACGAGAGUUUGUAACACCCGAAGUCGGUGAGGUAACCUUUUGGAGCCAGCCGCCG